rnacentral:rRNA from 1 species
AGGGUUUGAUUCUGGCUCAGGAUGAACGCUAGCUACAGGCUUAACACAUGCAAGUCGAGGGGCAUCAGGAAGAAAGCUUGCUUUCUUUGCUGGCGACCGGCGCACGGGUGAGUAACACGUAUCCAACCUGCCCUUUACUCGGGGAUAGCCUUUCGAAAGAAAGAUUAAUACCCGAUAGCAUAAUGAUUCCGCAUGGUUUCAUUAUUAAAGGAUUCCGGUAAAGGAUGGGGAUGCGUUCCAUUAGGUUGUUGGUGAGGUAACGGCUCACCAAGCCUUCGAUGGAUAGGGGUUCUGAGAGGAAGGUCCCCCACAUUGGAACUGAGACACGGUCCAA